rnacentral:rRNA from 1 species
GUAUAAUCUAUUUAGUAAGUUAAAGUCGAGGUAAGAAUUCUUUGAUUUUCUAGGGGACGAUAAGACCCUAGAAGCUUUAAAAAAGAAAAAUUUUUAGUAGCUAUAUGGGUUUUUUGCUGGGGCGGUAUUAGUGUUUUAACUACUAGUAAUAAUGGUUGAUCCUUAAUAUAAAGAUAAAUCGGUGAAGUUACUCUAGGGAUAACAGUGCGGUAUUCUUGGAAAGGUCUUAUUAAUAAGAAUGUUCGCAACCUCGAUGUUGAAUUAAGAUGUCUACGUGGGGUAGUUAAUACAGUAGAGGGUUUGUUCAACCUUUAUAAUCUUACAUG